rnacentral:rRNA from 1 species
GCAAGUCGAACGCUCUCUUCGGAGGGAGUGGCAGACGGGUGAGUAACACGUGGGAAUCUACCUAGUUCUACGGGAUAGCCAUUGGAAACGAUGAUUAAUACCGUAUACGCCCUAAGGGGGAAAGAUUUAUCGGAAUUAGAUGGGCCCGCGUUAGAUUAGUUUGUUGGUGGGGUAAUGGCCUACCAAGACUACGAUCUAUAGCUGGUUUGAGAGGAUGAUC